rnacentral:lncRNA from 1 species
UCUAUUCAAAAUUCCUAACACAGAUGUGCCUCUUUCCUACUAUACAGGAAUCCUUGGUAACUUAUUCUGUCAAGAAUAUCAUAAGCACCAUGCAGUAUUAUAAAAGGCGUGCUUAAGCCCUGAAAUGAGGCUCAAAACAUGUUGUGCGCUUCGCCUAGCCUAGCAAGCACUUUAGUGUUGUCAUCAAGGCAUUAAGACACUUUUCCUUGCCAACGAGCGUAAUCCUGAAGAGGCUACACUAAAUAAUUGAUAUUUCACUUUAUCACAAUUUUACUUCAAUUUUUUUAUCGAUAUAUUUGGUAUUCAUGCUUAUAGAUAUUAGUAUUUGGCUAAACAUGCGUAUUCAUAGUUUUUCUAUAUUUGCACCUUUCUUCAUGAAGGCCCACACUUUAUUUUGCUCUUUGCGCUUAAAGCCUCGAUAGACCUUACAGCUUUCUUGCAUUUUUCGCCUUUGAUAACUCUGGCACCAUGUGAUGAUUUAUUCAAUUUCUUGAAGUAUUUAUAUGCUGAGCCUUCCCAGAUGGAGAAUUGAAAUUAGCUAUUGGAACUUCGGGUUAAUAGAAUUCUGAGCAAGUUAGUACUUACCGUUAGAACUGUGUGACCGUCUUAUCUAAAAGCAGGUAAUCACACACUUUAAAAUGAUGUUAAGAGUCAUAGUUAUCUUCAUUCUUGGUUUAUAUAUUAUUUGACGCUCAUGUUGUAUUGUCCACCACACACUAGAUGUCCCGGAUUUGCGGGGGAAGGGUGUUAGAUGAUCACGAGCUUUAAUACUUAUAUUUCCAAAAAGAUGCUCCAAUCUUUGUUGGAAUAGAACCUCUUGCGGGGGAAGGGUGUUAGAUGAUCACGAACUUUAAUGCUUAUAUUUCCAAAAAGAUGCUCCAAUCUUUGUUGGAAAAUGAUGUUAAGAGUCAUAGUUAUCUUCAUUCUUGGUUUAUAUAUUAUUUGACGCUCAUGUUGUAUUGUCCACCACACACUAGAUGUCCCGGAUUUGCGGGGGAAGGGUGUUAGAUGAUCACGAGCUUUAAUACUUAUAUUUCCAAAAAGAUGCUCCAAUCUUUGUUGGAAUAGAACCUUUUACCUUUCAAAAUGUCUUACACAAAAUACAGUCCAAUGUUUGUCUUUCUAAGGAUUGUUUUUGCUUGUCGUAGUCCAUAUUCAUAUUCAAGUUGGAAAAAUUCUUCCUUUUCUUCUUAUUGUGGAAACAGUGUAAAGGCCAAGGUCUAUAUUUAUCCAGAUUUGCACUUAUGAAUUGGGAAUAGUUUCCUGCAGAAAAUUUUAAAUUUAAGUCAACAAAUAAGCUGAUAAUUUUUGUUCUUUUUGGUUUAAUCUGCAACCCCCACUUCCAACCGAGAGGUUGUGAGUUCGAGUCGCCCCAAGAGCAAGGUGGGAAGUNNN